rnacentral:misc_RNA from 1 species
UCGCCCACCAUUCACACCCACGAACUGUCGUCUCCUUGCCACCGCCUUGCCCUCUUCUCGCACGCUAUAGUCUUUUCUUCGCAGCCUCUUGUGAGCUCUAUCUAUUUUGCCUGUGUUGGUUGUUGUCUCCCGUUCGCGGGGUGCGCGGCCGGGCUGGCUAUUUCUUUUAGUGCGGCACCAGCACGCAAACUCCACGCACUGUACUUUCUGCUGCAAGAGUUCAGGUGAUCGCGUCAGCUCUCGCUGCAUGCAUACCCCCUCAUCUUCGGGUCUCUCUACUCUCUGGUACUCUUGGUGCCAUGCCGGGCUCCUCUACUGUGUUAGCUUCACUUUUUCUGUGACCUUUUCUUCAGCGAACUUGCUGCGUCGACACAAGCACCGCCGAUGCACAGCUUCCUGCGGCAUGCACACGUAUACUCUGUCUGCCUCUCUCUGUGUUUGCCGUGAUUUUUUUUUUUUGCUGCUUCCUGCUCGGUGAACUUUUUCUGUCUUUCCGCCGUUCUUUCCUCUCUGUCGCUGUGCGCGGCUUCUCUCUCGACGGCUUCACUGAGUGACGCAUAGCGGUGUUGUCGCAUUACUAACUUUUUCGGAGAUGCUUCUGAGCGCACAGGGAAGGCCCUCGCGGCUGCUCGGUUCUUUUCGCAGCUUUCCUUUCACUAGCGCAGCUCUUUCCGUGGCAGCCAGGCGCUGCCAAGCUCGAGCCCACCAUUUGAGUAAGCGAAGUCCCUUGUCAUCUUGGAGUCCCUUGAGAGGCACCCGGGGCACACCAUGUGCUGUGCUGCCGACAGGACGGCGCUGGGCCACCAACUGCGAAACCGCUGCUUUCGAACCGAACAGAGGUCCGAUGCUGGUGCCCAGGCGCACUGUCCACUCGGCUGCAGCCUCGGCUGCGAAGCCGGCGAACGAAGCUGACGACACUGCGGUUGUGGAGACUGUGAGCGCAUCAUCUGCGACUACUUUGCAACGCGGCGAGAGUGCAACCGCACGAGCCGCGACGGCGGCUGCCACGGGUGCAGCGGCUGCUGCUGAGUCGCAGAACACGGACGCAACAGGUGAUCAACAGCCUUCGAAGAGCACCACCGCUGCAGCGAUCGCAACAGUGGCGACGCCAGCAGGCCAGGCAAGUAUGUGGCGGCGCGCCUGGCGAGUUUUCAAGAGCGAGGGCACGGAUUUCUCCAUCUUCUACCUGCCCUUCUAUGGUGGCACAUUUGUGUUCUUCUACUUUGCAUUCGCGAUGGGGCUGAUGCGCAAGGAGGCAAUCCUCGACUACGUGCUCUCCUGGAUGGGCGACAGGGUCGACCGCGCCAAGCUGAACGCCCGCAUCGCCGCGUGGAAUUCCUGGGCCAACCUGGGCUUCGCCAUCGCCAUCAACGAGUUGGUUGAGGUCGCACGCCUCCCUGUGGUGUUUGCCCUCUACUAUGUAAUGAGGCCGCACUCGAAUCACUUUGCGCGCUGGCUUGCUGGCCUUGCGCGUCGCAUGGGGCGCGGUAAGUGGACUGACGGCGCGGCGAAGGUGUAGCGGAGCGGGAGACGAAAGCCGAGUUGCAUGCGACUGGCUUGACCUGUGCCUCGCCACUGCGAAGUCUGCGCAUCGCUAUUCUGACGUGCAGACGGUCACACGUACCGCACAAAAAACAGCGCAAACUCAUACAAGCGAAAGGGAAUGAGCGCGAUGAUGGCCCGACGGGAGGCGCGGCAGCUGCUGUGUCGCUUUCGGUCCAUAGGAUCUGUUAAGAGGAUAGCUCGCACGUGCAAGCACGGGGCAGGCGCCUUCCACUACCCACAUGUGGCGUGCAGGGCUGCAAUGCGAAGGGCUGCUUUCCUCCUUGCCGAAGCUUGCUCACAUGGCUUGGGCUGCGUGCACUGGGCGGUGAUAAUGCUGGAGCUCGACUAUGCUGACCUAGUCGUGACGACAUCGUUUUUGCACACUAUCGCAAGCCCUCCCCCCGAUUGCUGCCCUCCCUCUCCUCUCCUUUCUUUGCCGUUGCAAUGCGCAG